rnacentral:rRNA from 1 species
CACGGCCCAGACUCCUACGGGAGGCAGCAGUGGGGAAUAUUGCGCAAUGGGCGGAAGCCUGACGCAGCGACGCCGCGUGGGGGAUGACGGCCUUCGGGUUGUAAACCUCUUUCAGCAGGGACGAAUUCGGACGUGUACCUGUAGAAGAAGCGCCGGCUAACUACGUGCCAGCAGCCGCGGUAAUACGUAGGGCGCGAGCGUUGUCCGGAAUUAUUGGGCGUAAAGAGCUCGUAGGUGGCUUGUCGCGUCUGCCGUGAAAGCCCAUGGCUUAACUGUGGGUCUGCGGUGGAUACGGGCUGGCUAGAGGUAGGUAGGGGCAAGCGGAAUUCCUGGUGUAGCGGUGAAAUGCGCAGAUAUCAGGAGGAACACCGGUGGCGAAGGCGGCUUGCUGGGCCUUACCUGACGCUGAGGAGCGAAAGCGUGGGGAGCGAACAGGAUUAGAUACCCUGGUAGUCCACGCUGUAAACGUUGGGCGCUAGGUGUGGGGUCCUUCCACGGGUUCCGUGCCGUAGCUAACGCAUUAAGCGCCCCGCCUGGGGAGUACGGCCGCAAGGCUAAAACUCAAAGGAAUUGACGGGGGCCCGCACAAGCGGCGGAGC